GAUCCUGGCUUAGGAUGAACGCUAGCGGCAGGCUUAACACAUGCAAGUCGAGGGGCAUCGGGAGUAGCAAUACUUGCCGGCGACCGGCGCAAGGGUGCGUAACGCGUGAGCAACAUGCCCGUAUCAGGGGGAUAAUCCAUGGAAACGUGGUCUAAUACCCCAUAGUAAUUAUGUAAGGCAUCUUAUAUAAUUUAAAGCUUUGGUGGAUACGGAUUGGCUCGCGUGACAUUAGCUGGAUGGUAAGGUAACGGCUUACCAUGGCUACGAUGUCUAGGGGUUCUGAGAGGAAGGUCCCCCACACUGGAACUGAGACACGGUCCAGACUCCUACGGGAGGCAGCAGUGAGGAAUAUUGGACAAUGGAUGGAAAUCUGAUCCAGCCAUGCCGCGUGCAGGAAGACGGCCCUAUGGGUUGUAAACUGCUUUUGUAUGGGAGCAAUAAGGGCUACGUGUAGUCCGAUGAGAGUACCAUACGAAUAAGCACCGGCUAACUCCGUGCCAGCCGCCGC
rnacentral:rRNA from 1 species